UGACCAUCUUUAACCAACUUAUAUAAAUUAUUUUUUAAAUUUAACUAAAAAUAUAAGAGCGGUAGGUCCGAAUGUUGGGACCCACUGGAACUUCAGAAGUUAUAACAGAACAUAAACUUAAAACACUGAAAGAAGGUAUAACAAGAAAUUUAAAAAAAAAAAAAGCAAGAACCUCAAAACAUAUGCCUUACAUCUGUGAUUUAAAAACAAUCUACCCAAUUCAGCGAACAAAAACAUUUAAUAUUCAGAACACAGUUAA